rnacentral:lncRNA from 10 species
CUCUGCCACGGCAGAUGCCUUCCUUUUUCACUCACGAGCUGGGCGGGCUCAUCAAAGAGCAGGAAGUGCCCAUUUUACACUGGGGCCAGGAUGCAGACCCAGCUCCUGUCCUCCGCGAACUUACAGUCUAAUUAGAGCCUCUUAAGGACAAUUUGGCAGCCACUGUUAACUCUUGAUGCAUCAUUUAAAUCCUAGAACAGGCAGCUUUAAAGCAAAGAACUACAGACUUUUCCGCAGUGUCCAGCAUUUGCUGACCAAAAAAAACCUGAGGGUGAUUUUUCUCUCUUUGAAUUUUUACCCUUGCCUGCACCUAGCCAGAACCCUUAAUACUAAAUUUGCAGUUAUAUGCAGCUCUGCCAACGCCUUCCUGCUUUAGACUGGAUCUCUACUAUCCUUUUUCUCUACUAGGCACCAGAACCUUUGUCUAGUUCAUUAGGUGGUUCACAUCACUUGCCAAAUUUCCAGCAUGCCACUCAGGAAGUGACUUGAGCAUGCUGAAUGCUGAGUCAGAAAAUGAACCCCUGGGCUGGCGGGUUGACCCAGGCCUGACAAAGUCUUGGCAGUCCCCACACUGACUGCGAACUCUCCCUUAGCCUCAGUCAGCUGGGAAAGGAAUUGAGCCCUGUGUCAGCAAAUUGGGAGAAAGUGUUACAUAUAAAAUUCUUGAUGGAAAUGUGUGUUUUAUAUCAGAAUUGAGCUUUUGUUCCUGCAUCUCAGAAAUACCAGGAAGAAGUCAGCAUCUCAUUAAACAGGAGUUGUCUAAACUGUGGAAGAAAAUAUCCCCCAUUCUUUAUCCUACGCUGAAUCCACAAGUCUUCCCAUCUUCCACCAUCUUCUGACAGUUCCAUAAUAUAUUGGUAUCCCUCACAGGGCAGGGACAGGAAGGAAAUAAAUCUUUCUGCCACUUGUUUCCAACCGAAAAGGAAAAAAGUUAAAAAUUACUAAAGUGUUCUGAAAAGAGAUUUCAAGUGGUCUGUGCUGCUUUUUUGCCUUGUUACGCACAUAACUUGUGACUGGCUAGAUAGGCCACGUGUAUUUAUCAGCCAAGAUUCCAUUGCAGCAGAUGAUUUCAAAACCUCUUUGUGUGCUGGGCCGUGCUAGGUAGCUGGAAUAUCUGAGGUAAAUUAAGCACUGAUUUGUUCCCAGAGUUGUGCAUAAUUCUUUAAAAGUAGGCUCGUUUUUUUCGUUUUUUUGUCCAGGAUCACCUAAGUGAAGUACUCGUGGUUCUAAGUUGCUAACCCAGGGAAAGAGGAUAUUUUCCUGUCCUAACCUUGGUUUUUGAAAUAUGCUUCUCCUGUGUGCCCUCUCUGGGGUAUCUGGCCCACAGUAGAUUGCUCAGCAGAUAUUUGAAUGAGCAGAUGCUUUGCUUUGUCCUCCUGUGCCAGGCUCCUCCCCACAUCCUCUGGAUCAGCUCCACGUGCCUAGAUUCAGACUCCGUGAUUCACCGUGGGGGCCCUUAAUAGGCAUUCAGUCUGAAAGAAGGUGGAGGAGAAUAAUGUCUCCCAGGAUCAAAUGAGACUCAGGGCUGUUCCUUCAAAGACAGAAACUUGCAGAGCUGCACAGCAGCAGGGAAACAUUGAGAAGGGGGUGGAAAUUUGAUGUACUGUGAAUAAUGAAGGCCGGAUCUUUAAAAAGAAAAAGGGACGGGGUGCUGGCAGAAACCCAGCUCUGCGCUAGCACAAUCUGUACACCUGGCUGCCUUUGCCCUUGAGCUUCUAUUUCUUGGGGAUGGGGAGGGCAAAAAAGUUUGCCCCAGACACUGGCUUCUGUUUGAACAGGAAGUGGGGAGUCAGUGAUCCCAGAGGGGACUUCAGCAUCAGGACAUAUGCUUUGGUGGCCUCAGCAGACCUGGCCUAGGCAGGCUUUCAGGUGGCACCCAGGGGCUUUAUGGCCUGCAGGUAAGGCCCCUUCAUCCGGGUCAGACUUAGCAAAUAAAAAUAUAGGACACUCAAUUAAGUUUGCAUUUUGGAUAAACAGUGAAGAAGUUCCUAGUGUAAGUAUGUCCCAGUUCUAUGUGGCUGCCCUACCUGGGCUUGCCUCUGCUGGUACUAGCUGCCCAGAGACCUUCAGGCCUGCCACGGGCUGCCGGGAGCUCUCUAGUGGAAUUGGAUUACCCUGAUUUUGUGCAUUGUUUGUGCUUUUGUGGGCAUCGGAAAUGACUGAGAUACGCAGUUUUGAAGAGCUAGGCAGGCAGCUGAGCGGGAUAAUGUGGGCCCCAGUUGACCUCAGUGGCUGUCAUCUACUGUGUUUUUCAACCAGGAAUUUCAAAUACUGUGUAUUUUAGAAAGAAAGGAAAGAGCCAAAGUACAGCCUUUUCUCACUUGAUCAGUAACUUGUGUUAGAAACUCAGUGGGGGAGAAUUCUUUGCGUUUUUCAGUUGACUGAUUAUUUUCCUUUUUUUCUUUUUUGCUUUUCUCGAGUCACUCUGUGUGGUGCUUGUGGGAGAAGGGAGAGGGUGGGAGAGCGUUGGUGGAUGUGUUCUGCAUGUUCCUUUCUGUACAGUAACUUCUGCAUUUACUCUGUUUAGGAUGGUUCCUUCACCACUAUCCCUGUCUGUAGCCAGUA